rnacentral:rRNA from 1 species
GAAGCGGUGACGUGGAGCAAACCUCAGAAAGCCAAUCUCAGUUCGGAUUGUAGGCUGCAACUCGCCUACAUGAAGUUGGAAUCGCUAGUAAUCGCGAAUCAGAAUGUCGCGGUGAAUACGUUCCCGGGUCUUGUACACACCGCCCGUCACACCACGAGAGUUUACAACACCCGAAGUCAGUGGCCUAACCGCAAGGAGGGAGCUGCCUAAGGUGGGGUAGAUGAUUGGGGUGAAGUCGUAACAAGGUAAC